rnacentral:sRNA from 1 species
ACAAGCAAUGAGGUUGAACAAUUGAACAA